UAUUUUUAUUUCAUGUGUAUGGUGUUUUGCCCACAUGUGUGUCUGUGCACCCCAUGUAUGAGUGAUCUUGGGGGCCAGAAGACGGGAUCCCUGGCACUGGAGCUACAGACUGUUAUGAACUGCUAUGGGAGUGCUAUGAGCUGAACCCAGGUGAGAACCAAGAUUCUGAAGCCCCCCCAGGACAUCAAUGAAAAUGGGACGGGGGAGACAAAAAAAAGGGGGAACCUAAUGGGGACCAUUAUGAGUUAUCCCCAAGAUUCUGUCUAAAUUUCUGAAGUGGCUGUAACAAGUGGCCCAGGAAGAGAUUGCACACAAUCAGGGUGUGCAUCUGCAAUCAGACCCUACCAUUAGCAGCAAACUGCUGUAAGAAGCCCUAAGAAAUGAAUGCUAGCACUGGAGAGAUGGCUCGGUGGUUAAGAGCACUGGCUGCUCGUCCAGAGGCCCUGAGUUCAAUUCCCAGCACCCACGUGGCAGAUCACAACUGUCUGUAACUCCUGUCGUGGGGGAUCCGACACCCUCGCACAGACAUAGAUGCAAGCAAAACACCAAUGUACAUAAAAUACAAAUAAAGUAUUAAAAAAAGAAAUUAUUGCUAAAAUAAGGGGCACAUAGAGAACUAGCAUGAUUAGUGGGAGUCGGAGUCGAGAACAAACAGGGUGAAGACUUAGAAAAAGUGUGUGUGUGUGUGUGUGUGUGUGUGUGUGUGUGUGUGUGAGAGAGAGAGAGAGAGAGAGAGAGAGAGAGAGAGAGAGAGAGAGAGAGAGAGAGCGAGCUGUGUUUAUACUCCCAGAACCACUGGGAGGCAGAGUGGUGUGGUGUGUGUUGGGGGAGAGGGGGGAGCUGGGAGAAAGUACAGUUCUGGAACCAGGCCUGGAAAGUGUGGGAGCUGCUUUGACCCACGGUACAUCCCAGCUAUUUGGACCACUCUGCUGCUACCCUAGACUUCCUACCCCUUCUCUUCUGGAUUGACAACAUCCUCCUAACUGGUCAUCUUGCCUCAGCCUGGGCCCACACUCAUUUUCACACUCCCCCCUGCCAUUCUCUCUCUCUCUCUCUCUCUCUCUCUCUCUCUCUCUCUCUCUCUCUCUCUCCCUGACUCCUCCACCUACCCUAAUCAGCUCCCACCAUUCCUAGGCCUGCCGGCCUCUAUCGUAUUCCAUCUCCUUUCAGGGAAUCAGGGAAUGAAUGGCAGAGAUGAGAACUUGAUGUGUGCCCAUCACAGCCCAGGGCAGCGAGGGGCGUGAGCCUUGGGCAUCAGGAGCCAGCAGCCCUACAAAGCAGGAAGGACAUGGUGGAUUUGCUUAAGGCCCAUGGCAUCAGAGAAGAGAAGCUGGCCUGGAUUAGGAGAGCUGGCCUACUCCUCAGCGAGAGUGACUGUCAGCCUCUAGAACCUUCUAUGCCUGGGUGACAUGACUCCUGAGUCCUUUAGCCCGCCCUCUCCCUUCCCACCACGCCCCGGCUGUGUUUAGAAGCAUUUAGGACAUUAGUUUUGCUAGUGUGUUGGGAAUCUAAACCAAACGACAUCUGAAUGAGGGAAAGGAAGCCGUAGAACCCAGCAACACCACAGACAGACAGACAGACAGACAGACAGACAUUCGCCGCAUCUGGGUGUUGCCUACCCUCCACACCCUGGGCCUUUGCUGUGCUCGCAGGAAGUCUGGCUCAGGUCUUCUCAAGCUCUUCACAGAGUUGCUGUAAUUGGAAGAGCGGGGACACACACACACACACACACACACACACACACACACACACACACACACAUACUGCAGGGCCUGAUCUGAAGCCCUUUUCACAAGUCGACUUGGACAUGGUUUCUAGGCUGCCGUCAAGACCAAGAGGGUUCGUGAUAACUGCAGGAAGCGGGGUGGGGUUGGGGGUCAUCUCACACGUCCAGGGCCGGCAUGGGUCACCCCUGAAUCUCCCACGCUGGACCAUGAAACUUCUAGUAUCUACACAUGAUGGGAGCCAGGCUGAGCUCCAGCACCAAUACGGAAGAGUCAGGAGCAGCUCAAGUGGUGUUCCCUCUACUGUAGAGCAUGUUUACAUAUCAUUUGCAUAUUAUGUAGAGCGGUAUAGUUUCUUCUUUAAGACCCCAAGGACUAAUACAGAGACUAUUAAAAACUAGUAGUACAAAAGUGCAUUGAUUAAUUAUACACACAGCUAACACAAAAGCAGUGAACAGUUCAUAGGGAGGCUAAAAGAUGGUUUAGGAUAAUGAUUAUGCUAGAUCGGUAAAAUUGAUUGCACACAUAACCAAUGUUGUUUUUAAACAAACAAAAUAACAGUGGGUUGAAAAUGAAAAUCUAGAGAGAAGAGGGAGUUUGCAGGGUGGAAACUGGCUGGUGUCCAGGCAGAAAGCAUGAAGCACCGUCGGGCUGGGAUCAACAGGACAGUGGUUGAUGGUGUGUGGCUGCGGGGACAGCCCCCGGGGUCACUGAGUACCACAAGCCAGUUCACCAGCAGCUGAAGUGCCAGCGAGGGCGGGGGCCGGAGGCAGAGUCUAGCAGGCAGGGGUGCUGAGGGCUGAUGUGAACUGAACGGUUGCCAGGUGCCAGCUCUCUGCUGAAUGACACCUGUCUAUUGAUCUGUGUCAUCUCAUUCAGCCCUUUCGGGGAGGCCAGCACGUGACUAGCAUGACCACUUCUAUUUAUAGAUGAAGAAAUCAGUGCUCAGAGAACUGAAAUCGUCGGCAAGAUGGUUCAGCAGGUAAAGGUACUUGCCACCUAGCCGGACAGCCUGAGCUAUGUCCCUGGAACCCACAUGAUGGAAGGAGAGAACCGACCCCCACAGGUUGGCCUCUGACCUCCACAUAUGUACUGUGUUGCACGCACACACACACACACACACACACACACACACACACACACACACACACACACACACUGUAAUAAAAUUUGAAAAGAAAGAAAGCAAGCUAAAAUAAUUGUCCAACCUGCAGCUAGCUGCCUCGCUGGCCAGGCAGUGUCUGCCUGGCUGCCUGGCUCUGCAGCCCGUGUGACUGACCUGUGUGAGGCCCUGGGUCAGCAUAAAAGCAUGUUUUAGUCUGGCUCCAUUCCAUGUCCUUUAAAAAGGUGAAGGGUUUUGCUUUUUGUUUUCCUUUCGGUGGGUGGCGGGGGGGAUACUGGUAAUGUGUAUUUACUGACUUGUGUCCUAAAAUAAUGGCGAUUUCCAUUAGUAGGAACUAAGAUGACUAGACUUUCUUGAGAGAUGUUUACCCUUGACCUCUGCUGCCAAAAUCUAGGGCGUGGUCUCCGUCCAGAGGAUGACUCCUCAUGGAACCAACCACUGAAGCCAAACCAAGGACAUUCAGCAAAUACCCUCGGGUGCUCGGAAUGGAUCCUUGCAUAUGUAGUCUACAAUUCUCGGAGUCCUCAGACGUUUUCCUCUUGGCAAGCAGGAGUGAUGGGCUGGCACUGAGGACCACGUGCAGAAUCUGAUGUGGCCUUACGCAGCCAGCAAGAAGGAAGCCUGCUCAGUGUGCUCUCUAACUGUUGCCUGGAGUGUGCAGUGAGACAGGCUGGGUUCCAGCUUUUCUCACUCUGUUUGGAAAGCUUGUCUAAGCCAUAUGACUCCAGUCAUGACUUAUUAAGCAUGCGCCAGGUGUCAAUGUGAUCAUUCCCUGCUUUGCCUCAACGCAGGCUUCUCAAGACAAAUGAUCUCUUGGGGAUCUGCUAACUGCUGUAACGAAGACCCCGGAUUCUAUGUGCUUAGCGCAGUGACAGCUUCUUGGUCACAACUGGGCAGGUAGGACGUGGAGGGCUCUUCCAGGCACAGGCUCCUGCUGUCAUGCGGCUUUCCCUUUUCCUAGGGUCCUGUGAAGACUAGGAAAGGGAUCACAGUGGCUUAGGGGCCAACUUGUAAGUGUUGCAACUAUUCAUGAUCCGCUUAACUAGUUUCCUGGACUCGUAGGUGUGAGGGGGCUGGGGCAUUCCCAUUAUAUGGUAAAUUAUAUGCCUCCCUCCAAUGCCUGUCACAUCCCACAGGCUGAAGCCAUAAGCUCUAGAACCUCAGAAUGCGACUGUGGGUGGAGACAAGGCAUCAGAACAGCUGAUUAAAUUUGAAUGAGACCGUUGAGGCAGGCCCUAAUCCAGUGUGACUGGUACCCUAACAAGAAUAGAUUUGGGCAGCCAAGAGACGCUAGGGACUAAUAAUACACAGGGGAACGGCCAUUUGAGGGUAGUAUUAAGACAGCUGUCAUGAGCACUAUACAUCAGAGACACAGAUGGAUGUGCUUUGUGUCAUUUCACACUGUCACAAUUUAUCUAGUAACAGCAAACUCAUGAGCCAUGUUGGCGUCAUUGGCUGCAACUUGCCAAGUAGCUCUGGUUCCCCUUGACAAGCAUAGGCUCUUUUAUCCUAAUCUUAAAUACUAAAAUGAAUUCUUAGAUCACACGUUAUGCAUCUCACAGUCCUUAGAGUUCUUUUUGUAACCAUCACAAAAUAGUUACAAAAGGGUUAAAGAAGGCGUCGGAAUUUAAAGUGUUUGAAAAUAGGGAGGCAGGCAGAGAGCUGGUAUAGAUGCAGUCAGGGCAGGUGAUUGGACAAGACCCCGAGGAUCCUCUUAGAGAGCUGUUGGGGUCUCAGAACCAAGUUACAGGGUGGCGGGAUUAAGUCAAACCGCAGAGGGAGAAGACUAUGGAGGUCACAGCAUCAAGGCACAGGACUGGAGGACCAUGGAAGGGGGGGGCAAGACCAAGUCCAAGAACAGAUGGAUGGAUGGAGAAACAGCCUUUCAAGUAGGCUCUGUCAAGCAGUGGGAUGCAACUGAGCCACCACCCUAGGGACAGUUGGUAGUUCUCUGCCUGUCAAUGCCUUGAUGCACAUGCUAGGUAGGCCUAUGAUAGGGCAGUGGGGCCAGUGUUAUCACCGGCAUGGUGUUACUAUCCCCCUCUUCAAGGGGUCCAUGUGGGGGUGUCCUACCUUUCAUCAGUCCGGUGUGUUUGGGAAGUUCCUGGGCAUGACUUUGAUGCUGUGGUUUUAAUUAAACCUAUGUUCUGUGGUUUUGAUUACACUCACGUGCUGACGCGAGUCCAGUGUGCUUUGAGACGUUUCUGUGUGAUAUCUUCUUACUUUCAAGAACAACCUGUCUGUGACUCACGGGUGGUGCUGGGCAGGUGGUGGCCACGACAUGCACCAUGACACACAGUCACCUUGCCUCUGCAUUUAUCCUCAAAAAAAGAGCCAACUGCCCCUUGUAAAAUGGAGUCACCCCAGGGCAAGGUACAGCCUGAAGGCCACUGUUCUGCAUACUGUGAAAUCACCAAGACCUAGGAACACCCAAUUUCCAUGGUAGCAAUCUACAAGUCAAACUUUCUGAUCCUAUCACCUUCGACUUCUGGCCUCCCAAACUGAGAAAACAAAUGUCUAUAGCACACCCAGGCUGUAAUGUUUUGUUUCAGCAGCCUGCACUAACUAAUACAAUAUUUGCAGUGGGAACUCAGCGAGGUCAGCUGUCCAUGCCACAGUCCCCCCCUUGUCCCCUCCCUGCCCCACCCAGUGAGGACAAGCACAGCUCCCAAGCUCCUGCAUCCAGCUGAACAUUUAGUAUCUUCGGGUCUGUUGGAUGAUCCACAGCUUUAAACACAGGCUCCUGGCUUCUCUGGCAACAUGAUUCCUUCAAAACCUUAGGCCUCCAGUAGAUCUUCUUCUAGCGAAUUCCAUGUAGUAACUCCACAUAGAAUUUUCUUCUGAGUCACAAUUCUCAAGCCUGUCUAAGCUGGGUUGGCUCUCUGGCCCCAUUCUUUCUCAAACUUAAUGGUGGCUACCGCAAGGCUCCCUGGUUUUGGAGAAAGGUAUAGUCCCUGAAAUGAUUUUUCUUUUCUUUUUUGCCUCAGGACUUACUCACUGUACCUUGUUGAGAAGAAAGAUUCACUGGGCUUCUUCGCACAUAAUCUCUCUCUCUCAAAAAAAUUAAGUGUCUGGGAAAGAAACUUGUGUUGUUAUGAGCCUCUGAAAUUUGGAGAUUAUUACAAUAGUCAGUAGACCCUUACUAAUACAGGGCUUCAUUUGAUGUGGAGAGGUAAAAACCGAGCCCGAAGGAAGAAGUAGGCCGAAAAGAGGUCCUUUGUCCCCUCGCUUCAGGACAUGAGUCCCUGACUCUAUUCCAUUUCCUUCUCACAGGCUGACCAAUUAGCUCUUCACUGCGUCUGCUUUAUUUUUUAGUGUCUUGCUGAAUGCAGUCCACAGGCAGCACCAGGGCUAACCUUCUUGUUUUCUGUUUCCAUCCUCUUCCCCUAGGCGGAUGACUUCCAGGUUAUCACAGGCAGCGCCGGGAUCUGUAACAUAGAUCCCUGCUUACCUAGUUUUUUGCUGCUCCUCUCUAGCGAGCCUCAUAUGGUCAUUGCUUUAAAGCAGAGGUUCUCAAGCUGUGGGUCAUGACCCCCCUGGGGGGGUUGUCCAAAGACCCUUUCAUAGGAGUUGCAUAUCAGAUAUCCUGCGUAUCAGAUAUUUAUGUUACAAUUCAUAACGGUGGCAAAAAAUAUAGUUAGGAAGUAGCAACAAAAUAAUUUUAUGGUUGGGGAGGUCACCAUAACAUGGGGAACUGUAGUAAAGGGUCACAGCAUUAGGAAGGUUGAAAACCACUGUUCUAAAGGAAGUUUUCCACUCCAAGAAAAAAAAAUUCUUGUAUUACUCAAGGAAGGGAAAUGUUGAAACAAACAGCUGUUAAAGCUCAGUGACCAUAACAAUUAAUACAGAAUCAAAUGUCUGUCUUCAGUGCUGUGGGAUGUUCUGUAUGUUAAUUGUGUUGCUCUGAUUGGUUAAUAAAUAAAACAUUGAUUGGCCAGUAGCCAGGCAGGAAGUAUAGGUGGGACAAGCAGAGAAGAGAAUUCUGGGAACAGGACGGCUGAGGCGGAGAGACGCAGUGAGCUCCCACCAUGACAAGCAGAUGUUAAGAUACUGGUAAGCCACAAGCCACGUGGCAACUUAUAGAUUAAUAGAAAUGGGUUGAUUUAAGAUAUAAGAACAAUUAGCAAGAAGCCUGCCACGACCAUACAGUUUGUAAGCAAUAUAAGUCUCUGUGUGUUUACUUGGUUGGGUUUGAACAGCUGCGGGCCUGGCAGGUGAGAGAGAUUUGUCCUGACCGUGGGCCAAGCAGGACUGGGGAAAACUCUCGCAAUAGUCUUUCUCAUGUCACGGUGUGCUAUUGACUGGCUCAGUGACAAAGAUGGAAGAAGCAAGAACCAUGCUCCACACUGUCACUCAAGGGCCCAGGCUCCUUCCAUUGUGUGCAUCCAGAAUUGGAUAAAGCACUGGACUCCCUCCUGGUUUGGGCAUCCGGUUGGUAGAUAAAGGGAGAAAGAUCAGAAGGAAGCUCAUAAGACUCGCAGCUUGCUAAGGCUUGCCUGUUGGUAAGAGCCUUCCUAGUGAGUGCUCUUAAAAUUCAGUCCACUCAGCCCAGGAAGAAAUGGUGACACAUAUACAGUGUGCAGGAGCAUCCCCCAUCCAGCCUUGCUUUCUCCAUGCUGCUGAUGUUAUGGACACAGGGGUAAGUUGCUCAGUUUUCCCUGUAAUGGAGAUGUCGUUACUUCUGCUCCAGGGAGUGCUGCCUGCUGGGACCUUUACCUUUCAGCCCUCUCAGAUGCAUCCAAGAUGAAAUCCUUUCUGCUGUGGCCCACACUCAAUGACUUAGCAAAGCCCAGCUAUUUUGACCCAGUCGGGACAGCUAUGGCUCCUGUGGGAUUUUUAGCCAAUGUUACCACUGGGUUUCUCUGCACUUUUCUCUGUGUCCGUUCUGACUGUCCCCUUCUUCCCACCGCUGUUACUCCCGAGGCCACUCACCAAGAAACCUAGACACAGACUGCUUCCUCAGAGGGCCUCUCCUUCCCCAAGGUAAAUACCAUAAAUGUUUCCAUCAGAGCUCUGUUCCAAUAUUAGAUUAUUUUCCUUCCGUGCUGCUGUGGUUCCAGCACCCACAGCAGUGCCAAAAGCACACCACGUGCUCCUCCAAAUGUAUUUUAGUUGAAUAUUUAUUUAAAUACACUUGUGUACUUGUCUUCCUGGCCAGGCCAUGACCUCCUGAAAGACAGGGUCGAUAUGGUCUUCUGUGUGUCAUCAGCUCCUGGCCAAGUGCCUGACACUUCACUGUUACUCUAUAUGUAGCAAAUGUGUGACUAAGAUGAAGAGCUGGAGAAUGGUGGGAAGACCUUACACCACAAGCCAGGCCAGUAUUUCCAUGGAGGGCAGAAGUCACUGGUGGUGUUGAGGUAUAAGUGUUGAGUGACUUACUCGAGAUGAUAUUUGCUAAAUAGGUAUUCUUUUUUUUUUUUCCUUUGUUUUUCGAGACAGGGUUUCUCUGUGUAGUUUUGGUGCCUGUCCUGGAUCUCACUCUGUAGAUGAGGCUGGCCUUGAACUCGCAGAGAUCUGCCUGGCUCUGCCCUCCCAGUGCUGGAAUUAAAGGCGUGCGCCACCACUGCCACCCCGCGGUAUUCUUUUUAUUUCGUUUGGGACGGCUGGUGACAAUUAUUGAGGAAUAAUGCUCCAGCCACCAUGUCCUCUUCAGUGUUGUGACCCUGAGUUAAAAGAAUUCUACUGGGCAGAGCGAAUUAAAAACCUGUGUGGCGACUGAGAGGCGACAUCAACUUCAACCUAUUUCCUGAGCACCCCUGGUGGUGGGGCCUGGCAGGAAGGACUGGAGAGAGAAGCUGGUGAGGAGAAUGGGCUCCCUGGGAUGCUCAUGGAAAAGCAGAGGAGACAAAACAAACCCAUCAUGAGAACUCAAACACUGCUGGCACAGGAAGGGGGACAAACAAAUACAUAUGACACAAAUGCUGUCGGAGGUGGCCUCUGAGGCCGGAAGUGAACGCGGCAGAAGGCCUCGGCUCUGAGUCAGAGACAUAUGUCAUCCAUGUGGCCUUCCACCCUGCAGACACAGAGAGAAAGAGGGAGCAUCUUGACCUGGCUGCAAAGGAAGCUGGAAAUUCCAAGGUGCCAGCAACCUGGGGACCAAGACCUGAUAACGUUUUUAUUAUGCCCUACAGCUGAAGCCAGUGCAAGCCAAAGGUGAGUCAGCUAGGCUGACAGCCCGAAGACUCUCCUCCCAAGGCACAGGGAAGGGUGGAGAAGGGUGGAGGGUGGGCCUGAGGGCCAAGCAGAGAAUGUCCAGGACACCCUGUAUCACAUGCACCUGCCAUGUGGGGAACCCGGAUGCCCCCGCCUUCCCACAGACCAGAUGACGGAGGAGAGAGAGAUCACUGCAGCGGAUGGUGAAAUUCACACUUCAGGCACAUCAGAGGAGCACUGCCCUGCUGCCCGACCUGCAUGCCAUGGAGGCCUCACAGCUGCUUAGGGGGAGACCUGAGUUGGGCCCCUGGUGCCAUGCCUCCUCCCAUGUCGCUGAGGGUGGGCUGGCGCUGUGUCCUUGACUGAAUGUCUAUGCCCUACGCUAUACCCUCCUGCUCUGGCUUUUGUUCCUAUCGCUGUAGCCCAUGGCUGUUAAGUCCCUUCCUGGGUUGUGAUUCUCACGGAGCCGCUUCUGGGGCCAGCUUCUUUCAGGCCCGCGGGAGCAUCCCAAGGUCACAAUCCCAACUUCCAGCUUGCUGCCCUGGAUCUCAUUUCCCAAUCUGCUCCAAACCUGUGCUGCAGAGGACCGCAGCUCCCGCUGGGCUGGGAUAGAAAGGGAAAAUUAUGGGGAGCCGGGAUGGGAAAGUAGUCAUUACCUCAGAGUCUGAUUGAAGCCUCUCACCAGGUGAGAAUCAAGAAUCUCAACACAGUUAACACUUGUUUAAACUGUCCAGGCAAAAACAACAGUUCUCAACUCAAAGGUAAUAAGAGAGUCUGUUCUGGAGCAAAAAUAUGAGUGAGCGUGGCCCAGGAACAUGGAGCUGGUGACCGUGGGUUCCCUGCUCCAAAGUGGAAAUCAUUUCAUGGAGUUUUUAAUGGUAACAGUACAAAGAAAAUUAUAAAUCAAGGUGGUUUUAAAAUGCAUCAGUGGAAACAUUAAGCAGUCAGAGCACAGUGGAGAAAUCUCAACUGUAGGCAUUAGAUGUUAUCUGAUAGCAUUCUUAGCCCUCGAUUGGUGGAGAACAGAGUUCUGUCAAGUUACUACAUUGUAAGGGUUUUCAUCUGUCCUUAGGCUAUCAGGCCUGGCUAGGAGCAGGAUGCUAGGUCUGGAACAGCCGGGGUAAGGAAUGGCUGUUAAUUAGGCCAAUGAUCACAUUAAUUGUAAUUGGGCUUGAAACUGCCGGGUUCCAACCUCUCCACCUCUUUGAAGUUUUAAUUAGUUAAUCAGCCAGUGUAGACAACCUCUUUCCAGGAAUUCUCAUUCACGAGGCCUUCCUCCUUUCAGGAACCAGCUGUAGACCAACAAUUUUUCCAGGAAUCUCACAAGAAACCCUAUUUACAGAAAGAGAUGUGUCCCAAACUUCCAAACAACCCGAGUGGCUCCUGGUUUUACAUUAUCAGAUGACAAUCCCAUCCAAGCGUUUAGAGCCAUCCUGUAAUCUCGCUUAUCAACAAGAGAAGGAAAAGAACAACAUUUUAAGGUGUAACUUGAGAGCCAGCAAAGUGGUGUACAUGGCUAGUGCUAACACACUGAGUUGGGUCUCUUUCGAGGAGUCCAUAGCGAGUGCACUUGGGUCUGUCUUAUUCCUUCCCAGGACACCUCUCUCUGUUAUCAUCCAUGCUUAAAAUCUUUGCUAGAAAUCUUUUAACAUAGAGAAAUUAAGCUGGAACUGACCUGAAAACUCCCUCCCCAUUGAUGAGUUUUCCUAGUGAUGAAAGGUGCCAGGAAGGCUGCCGUGGGGGAAAAGAUGUCAGUGGCAUCCUGCAGCCCACACUGUGUGUUACAUCUAAUACCGACCCACUCGGCAGCAUGUCCCAACCGAGGCAUUAGCGGCAUGAAUGCUGUGGGGAUAACAAUGCCUCUGCAUUGGAUUUAAGGCCUGCUCCAGAGAGAGGAAUCCCAGCCUGGCUCCAUUAACCUGGCCAAAAGCCUGUGGCUCAAGAAAUCAUAGGCCCUAGGGAGGAACCCAUUACUCUUCUUUUGCUAAACGGACAUAUUAUCAACCACUUUCUAAAUGUUUAUGUUUAUACACACAGUGCUGCCCUCAACCUUAGUUCGAGAAGCUUCUCUCUGUAGUGGGCCGCAGUUAACUGGUCACGGUACUGAGAGUGUCUAUUGAAGGCUUAUCCCUAAAUGGGACAUCUCUAUCAAACACCUGCCCACCACCAGGAGGCCCAGAGAACAUUGCAAAGGGGCAGAAAGAAGAUAAGAGCCAGAGGAGGAGGAGAAGGCUAUGAAGGAGGAGGCUGUCUUUGGGAUACAAUGUAACCAUUUCUACCCAUGAACUCACUGCAGACGCAGUUAGCUGCACAAGACCCGGAACAAGACCAAGCCAACAGGAACAGUCGCCAUUCCAACUAGCAGGGCUAAAUGGGACUCAGUGGGUUAUUAAAAAGAAAAGAAAAGACGUAAAUAGGGAAGGGGGACAUGUUGGAUGUUCCUGGGGGAGUGGGAAAGGGGAGUCAAGAAAGAUGCAUUGUUUAUAUCUAUGAAAUUGUCUAAGAAUGAGUAAAAUAUAUUCUAUUAAAAUAUCUUCUAAUAAACUACAACUUUCCUUUGAGAA